rnacentral:rRNA from 1 species
UACAUAGGGUGCAAGCGUUGUCCGGAAUUAUUGGGCGUAAAGAGCUCGUAGGUCGUUUGCCGCGUCGAUUGUGAAAAUCUGAGGCUCAACCUCAGACCUGCAGUCGAUACGGGCAAACUAGAGUGUGGUAGGGGAGACUGGAAUUCCUGGUGUAGCGGUGGAAUGCGCAGAUAUCAGGAGGAACACCAAUGGCGAAGGCAGGUCUCUGGGCCAUAACUGACACUGAGGAGCGAAAGCGCGGGGAGCGAACAGGAUUAGAUACCCUGGUGGUCCGCGCCGUAAACGAUGGGCACUAGCUGUGAGAGCCUUCCACGGUUCUCGCGACGCAGCAAACGCAUUAAGUGCCCCGCCUGGGGAGUACGAUCGCAAGAUUAAAACUCAAAGGAAUUGACGGGGCCCCGCACAAGCAGCGGAGCAUGCGGCUUAAUUCGACGCAACGCGAAGAACCUUACCAAGGCUUGACAUAUAGCGAAAAGUGGCAGAGAUGUCAUGUCCGCAAGGGCGCUAUACAGGUGGUGCAUGGUUGUCGUCAGCUCGUGUCGUGAGAUGUUGGGUUAAGUCCCGCAACGAGCGCAACCCUCGUUCUGUGUUACCAGCAUUCAGUUGGGGACUCACAGGAGACUGCCGGGGUCAACUCGGAGGAAGGUGGGGAUGACGUCAAAUCAUCAUGCCCCUUAUGUCUUGGGCUGCACGCAUGCUACAAUGGCCGGUACAAAGUGCUGCGAAAUCGUAAGAUUUAGCGAAUCACAUAAAGCCGGUCUCAGUUCGGAUUGAGGUCUGCAACUCGACCUCAUGAAGUCGGAGUUGCUAGUAAUCGUAGAUCAGCAACGCUACGGUGAAUACGUUCCCGGGGCU